rnacentral:rRNA from 1 species
AUUGAACGCUGGCGGCAGGCUUAACACAUGCAAGUCGAACGAGUGGCGGACGGGUGAGUAAUGCUUGGGAAUCUGGCUUAUGGAGGGGGAUAACGACGGGAAACUGUCGCUAAUACCGCGUACCAUCGGAUGAGACCAAGUGGGAUUAGGGAGUUGGUGGGGUAAUGGCCUACCAAGCCGACGAUCUAUAGCUGGUCUGAGAGGAUGACCGGCCACCCCGGGACUGAUCAACGGCCCGGCAUCCUACGGGAGGCGGCAGUGGGGAAUAUUGCGCAAUGGGGGCAACCUGACGCAGCCAUGCCGCGUGAAUGAAGAAGGCCUUCGGGUUGUAAAGUUCUUUCGGUGACGAGGCGUUAAUCACAGAAGAAGCACCGGCUAACUCCGGGCCAGCAGCCGCGGUAAUUC